rnacentral:lncRNA from 1 species
UCAUGGCACCUAUAUUUAUUCCACCUGGAGGGGGGGGGCUUCCGAUAAAUACCGAGGUCCUCCUAAAUUAUUGUUAAGUCCUCUGGAACUUUUCCCACAUAUCCGGUUUACCAGAUUUUCUCCAAAAAACUUACAGUUUUCCUGAAACACUUUCGAUUCUCUCCCGAAAUAAUUUUCGUUAUCUCCGAAACUUUUUCGGUGAUAUACUCCGAUACUUCUAACUCAAUUACCACUCAACAUAUCAAAGAAUCUUAAGUGUGUGAUCCUACAGGUUCAGUGAAAUAUAGACAUGACCGAAAAACCUUUCGGUUAAUGAUCAAUAGUGGAACCAUGGACAUCCAUAUUGAUCUCUAUACUCACAUGAAGCUGUAGCUCCCAUAUGCUAUUCCUUUUGCUUCACGAUACUUACACAACCUGAGGUGAGAUAUAUCGGUGUCCCCCAUUGUGGCACCCCGACUCAGAGAAACCAGAACGCCCCGUAUUCCAGCCCAGAGAUCGAGAUGAAGUCUUCUGUAAUACAACACUGCUUGACAUAGAACAAAUCGGCUCUUAUUACAAAGGAUAAAUACACGGGUCUGAUGUUACAAAGGAUCACAUCAGCACGGCGACACUAUGCCUGCGAUACUACACUUGCUCUAUGCUAGCAGCGGAACAACUCGAAGCAGCGGAAUACUUCUAGCCGCGGAACAACGACGAAGGUGGUGAACUCCACUCCGCAGGGACUCUGGCUGGGACACGAUCUAGCUCGCACAAACGGAAACCUUGGCAAACAAUCAAGCAAUCACAGCAUCACCUGCAAUCUGGCAUGACACGCCAGGUCAGUACAUUGAAUGUACUUGCAAGCUCACAACAACCAAAAGCAUCAAGGCAAGACAAUAACAUAGCAUUAGCAGAUUAAUUAAUUAACAGCUACCAUGAUAAAGCAACUACUAAACAUGAUAUGAAACUACUACCAUACUGAUAAACCACCAUCUUAAUCUCAAAGAACCAUCUCACGCUUGGCUAUCCGGCCAAGUACUAUACCAUCUCUAUCACCUUGUGAUCAAUACCUCCACGUGAUCAGCGUGACGACAUCACAAACUGAAUGAUCAUCCUCGAGAUCAUCCCAACAACAUCAUCAACAUCCUGCCAAACGGUUACAGCUCACAAUAUAUCAACAUAUAAAUCAUCUAAAGUCAUUCCGUCAUGUGAGUGUUGAUUGAACGGUGUGACCUAGUACGAACUUAUGCCCAUGACCGAGGACGCGGCUAUCGAUAGAUUAAACACACACACUCUGCAGAGGUAACGCACUUUACCCACACCACAUAACCCAUGGCCUCGCACUCCCAUUCGGGUGGACCAACGGCGUUCCGACAAAACCGAUCUACUGCCAUGGCACUCUCCCGUCCACUCCGACCAACACCCCUUUUGGGUUCAGUCCUGGGUGGCCCCGUGCCUACCAAAGGCAUCAACGGCCACCAUCGUGGCAAAACAAAAAGGUCCCAAACGGGGACAAAAAGGGCCCUAUCCAACUACGGACACACAAGGCUUAUGUCCGCCUACCUGAUCAGGGUAGCGCACACCCAUAACCUUCCCUCGUUGGAGGCACCGGCGAGAGGCACGAUAAUAGCAUCGCAUUAGGGCCUUCCCAUAAAAGGCAAAUGUGGUUGCACUGGAAAAGCCCGGUUCGGUGGCACCUGACCAACUAAAUGACGGAAUUUAUCCCCCCAAAUAUACCUGAGAUACCUGAUACUCCGAUAUCAUCUAUCAAACUAUAAUCCAAGUCAUAGCAAUAACCAACAAAUAAUCCAAAGCAUACUAGCGUCACAUCAAAAUACUCCGAGGGCGACAUAUCACUACUAUCAAGAUGAAUCCAAGAACGAUAAUGCUACUACUCCAAUAGUAAGAACUAGCUAUCCAGCUAAGAUCCACAUGCAAGCAUCAUCUCCGAAAUCAACUAGCAUCAUGAUGAAAUAAUACUAGCCACUAAUAAUCCAAAGGCAGCAUGACAUUCAAAGUAAUACUCCAAAAUAAUACCAGAUACCAACAUGAAAAUGAUCACAAUAUGAGCCACUAAUAAUCCAAAGGCAACAUGACAACCUCAUAAGCUGCAAAAUAUUAGUCCUAGAACUCCAAGCAAACUCAUGGCAAAGGCAAGAUUGAAAUAACUCCGAGAAAAUGCCAUGAACAGAUCACAUGCAGCUAAAGCAAAUUUUAAACAAGUUCAAAUAAUUUAAACCAUGGCAUUGCAUUGCAAUCAUGCAAAUGGAGGGUGUGGCUUGCCUGGGGUGAAGGGAUUCAUCGGGAAGAAGUGCGAGAAACUCGCGGAAAGAAUCACCGGAAAACGUUCUCUCUCGGAGGGGGUUGAUUUAGUGCAGGGGCAAAAUGGUCAUUUUCAGGAUGUUAAAACAUGGUGAAAAUGAUACCAACAGAAUGGACUCGACAAGACGAAUAAGUGGGCUUUGGAAUCACCUCAUUUGGAAUUACGGGUAAAAAGUUGUGGCCGUUCACUUUUUAGGCUGAAAAGGGGCUAAACAGUGAACGCUCACAAUAUAAUCACUUCGGCCGGCUGGGCUGAAAAACAGAAAGCGUCUUUCAGAAAUACGCCUUCAGACAAGUGAAAACUCACUUUAAUCUAAAGAAGCACAAAAAUACGCUUUCGGGAACUGAAGACGUAAUCCAGAGGAUUACGCCUCCACUUAUCCACGUCAGCAUACCUGGGGUCCGCGCGUGGAGUGGCUGACGAGUGGGGUCACGCGGCCCACUGGCCAGCUGGCGAUGGUGGCGCCAUCUCCUUCCUCUUGCACGCGCCUGGCCGGAGCAGAGCCGGCCCCGACGAGGCCUGCCGGCGCUACAGGGCAC